rnacentral:tRNA from 1 species
CGUGAUAGUUCUUGUUAGAUAAGUGUUCCAUUUACACUGGAAAAAAUUCUGUGCAAUUCAGAAUGUCUCGA